rnacentral:rRNA from 1 species
GACAGAGGUGCCGAGCGUUAGGCGGAAUCACUGGGCUUAAAGCGUGUGUAGGCGGACCUGUAAGUACCUUGUGAAAUCCCACGGCUCAACCGUGGAACUGCUGGGUAUACUGCGGGUCUUGAGCCACCUAGGGGCGAGCGGAACAAGUGGUGGAGCGGUGAAAUGCGUAGAUAUCACUUGGAACGCCAAUGGUGAAAACAGCUCGCUGGGGGUGUGCUGACGCUGAGACACGAAAGCCAGGGAGCAAACGGG